rnacentral:rRNA from 1 species
AUUGAGGAGCUUGCUUCUCUGAUCAGUGGCGAACGGGUGAGUAACACGUGAGCAAUCUGCCCUUGACUCUGGGAUAAGCGUUGGAAACGACGUCUAAUACCGGAUACGACCUUUGGAGGCAUCUCUGGGGGUGGAAAGAAUUUUGGUCAAGGAUGAGCUCGCGGCCUAUCAGCUAGUUGGUGAGGUAAUGGCUCACCAAGGCGACGACGGGUAGCCGGCCUGAGAGGGUGACCGGCCACACUGGGACUGAGACACGGCCCAGACUCCUACGGGAGGCAGCAGUGGGGAAUAUUGCACAAUGGGCGAAAGCCUGAUGCAGCAACGCCGCGUGAGGGACGACGGCCUUCGGGUUGUAAACCUCUUUUAGUAGGGAAGAAGCGAAAGUGACGGUACCUGCAGAAAAAGCACCGGCUAACUACGUGCCAGCAGCCGCGGUAAUACGUAGGGUGCAAGCGUUGUCCGGAAUUAUUGGGCGUAAAGAGCUCGUAGGCGGUUUGUCGCGUCUGCUGUGAAAACCCGAGGCUCAACCUCGGGCCUGCAGUGGGUACGGGCAGACUAGAGUGCGGUAGGGGAGAUUGGAAUUCCUGGUGUAGCGGUGGAAUGCGCAGAUAUCAGGAGGAACACCAAUGGCGAAGGCAGAUCUCUGGGCCGUAACUGACGCUGAGGAGCGAAAGCAUGGGGAGCGAACAGGAUUAGAUACCCUGGUAGUCCAUGCC